rnacentral:rRNA from 1 species
CCUACGGGAGGCAGCAGCGAGGAAUCUUGCGCAAUGGGCGAAAGCCUGACGCAGCAACGCCGCGUGGGGGAAGAAGGCUUUCGAGUCGUAAACCCCUUUUGCAGGGGAAGAAGAUCUGACGGUACCCUGCGAAUAAGCCACGGCUAACUACGUGCCAGCAGCCGCGGUAAUACGUAGGUGGCAAGCGUUGUCCGGAUUUAUUGGGCGUAAAGGGCGCGUAGGCGGUCCAUUAAGUUCGGGGUGAAAUCUCCCGGCUCAACUGGGAGCGGUCCCCGGAUACUGACGGACUAGAGGGGGGUAGAGGAAGGCGGAAUUCCCGGAGUAGCGGUGAAAUGCGUAGAUACCGGGAGGAACACCGGUGGCGAAGGCGGCCUUCUGGGCCUACCCUGACGCUGAGGCGCGGAAGCGUGGGGAGCAAACCGGAUUAGAUACCCGGGUAGUCCACGCCCUAAACGUUGGACACUAGGUGUGGGGGGUAUCGACCCCCUCCGUGCCGCAGCUAACGCUUUAAGUGUCCCGCCUGGGAAGUACGGCCGCAAGGCUAAAACUCAAAUGAAUUGACGG